AAAUUGAAGAGUUUGAUCAUGGCUCAGAUUGAACGCUGGCGGCAGGCCUAACACAUGCAAGUCGAGCGGUAGCACAGAGAGCUUGCUCUCGGGUGACGAGCGGCGGACGGGUGAGUAAUGUCUGGGAAACUGCCUGAUGGAGGGGGAUAACUACUGGAAACGGUAGCUAAUACCGCAUAACGUCGCAAGACCAAAGUGGGGGACCUUCGGGCCUCAUGCCAUCAGAUGUGCCCAGAUGGGAUUAGCUAGUAGGUGGGGUAAUGGCUCACCUAGGCGACGAUCCCUAGCUGGUCUGAGAGGAUGACCAGCCACACUGGAACUGAGACACGGUCCAGACUCCUACGGGAGGCAGCAGUGGGGAAUAUUGCACAAUGGGCGCAAGCCUGAUGCAGCCAUGCCGCGUGUGUGAAGAAGGCCUUCGGGUUGUAAAGCACUUUCAGCGGGGAGGAAGGCG
rnacentral:rRNA from 2 species